rnacentral:rRNA from 1 species
CCUACGGGAGGCAGCAGUAGGGAAUCUUCCACAAUGGGCGAAAGCCUGAUGGAGCAACGCCGCGUGGGUGAAGAAGGUCUUCGGAUCGUAAAACCCUGUUGUUAGAGAAGAAAGUGCGUGAGAGUAACUGUUCACGUUUCGACGGUAUCUAACCAGAAAGCCACGGCUAACUACGUGCCAGCAGCCGCGGUAAUACGUAGGUGGCAAGCGUUAUCCGGAUUUAUUGGGCUUAAAGGGAACGCAGGCGGUCUUUUAAGUCUGAUGGGAAAGCCUUGGGGUUAACCGGAGUAGUGCAUUGGAAACUGGGAGACUUGAGUGCAGAAGAGGAGAGGGGAACUCCAGGUGUAGCGGUGAAAUGCGUAGAUAUAUGGAAGAACACCAGUGGCGAAAGCGGCUCUCUGGUCUGUAACUGACGCUGAGGUUCGAAAGCGUGGGUAGCAAACAGGAUUAGAUACCCCUGUAGUC